UUUAUCUGCAGAGAGAAAGAGGAGGAAAAAAAAAACUAGUCGAGCCACUCGGGCCAAACGAAAUUCAAGCUACAAAACAGAACUGGAUUGCAAAUCUCAACCUAAUGAUUUUUUAUUUUCCACUUGUAUUCGCCACGUGCUUGGAUAAUGUUGUCAUGCCUCUGCAUUAUUCUCAGGAGUGGUGCUAGAUCACCGAGUGAAUCAAACUAUCUGUAUCACUCGAAUGACACGGAUCGAUUGUAACACUCACAUGAAAACAAUCAGUACCGCUAUAGGCCUCGAAAUUGCUCUGUCGCAAAUGGCUUGAAUGAGCUGGCGGUGCCUUCUUCACGCGUCGGCCACUUGCACCAAAACCUGUGUGGAUUUCACACGCCUACAAAACUAAAGAGAAGAUAAAUCAAUGGUACGGGAGAUAGAGAGAGAGACGACCACGACCUAGCGGACUUGGGUGGCCGCCGCCGCCGAUGACCUAGGUGGCCACUGACGAUGAAGAAAACCACCGCUGACCAUCGUCCACCACUCUCCAAUUCCUCCGGUUUCUCUGAAAAUUUCGGCCUCCACUUACCAAGAGCCAACUGAUUCGUGGGUCACUACUGAGCUUCUUGAAUAUGUUGGCAUUUUCAAAGAUCAUGAAGAAAUAUGAUAAGAUAACUUCAAGAAAUGCAUCAAAAGCUUACUUGAAGAUGGUAGACAACUCCUACCUUGUGUCACAUACCAACUCAUUAGGGAUGUAAGUUCUACACCAAGGACAUUGCAAGCGCAUUAGUUUGUGAGCAGCAAGGCAGGCAGGAUAGAUCCCUAUCGUAUCUCCUAGGUUGGUCCUUGGGCAUAAUUGACGAGAGUAUGCAGUACCACUAGUAGAGCCGGCUUCUCGGGAGGAUGACAAGCGCCCAGUCCGUGACACUUGGCAGCUCAUAUAAGGUGCUAAUGAUAUGCCUCUACGAAGGAAGUAUCUUGGGAGGACCUUGGAACCGAGAGCUUCUUUUUGUUCUUUUAUGUAAAUGUUAUUGUACAAGCCUUGGGCUUAAUAUAUAUUGAGUUUUACUCAUUUUUGUUGUACCCAAGCAUCGACUUGGAAAAAUGUAGCCAUUAUGGUAUUAACUUGUUUGUAC